GUGCUCGCUUUGGCAGCACAACUGAUAUUGGAACGAUACAGAGAAGAUCAGCAUGGCUCCCGUGCAAGGAUGACAUGUAUAUUCGUGAAGUAUUCCAUUUGUUA
ensembl:snRNA U6 U6 spliceosomal RNA